UUUAUGGAGAGUUUGAUCCUGGCUCAGGAUGAACGCUGGCGGCGUGCCUAAUACAUGCAAGUCGAGCGAACAGAUAAGGAGCUUGCUCCUUUGACGUUAGCGGCGGACGGGUGAGUAACACGUGGGUAACCUACCUAUAAGACUGGAAUAACUCCGGGAAACCGGGGCUAAUGCCGGAUAACAUGUUGAACCGCAUGGUUCUACAGUGAAAGACGGUCUUGCUGUCACUUAUAGAUGGACCCGCGCCGUAUUAGCUAGUUGGUGGGGUAACGGCCUACCAAGGCGACGAUACGUAGCCGACCUGAGAGGGUGAUCGGCCACACUGGAACUGAGACACGGUCCAGACUCCUACGGGAGGCAGCAGUAGGGAAUCUUCCGCAAUGGGCGAAAGCCUGACGGAGCAACGCCGCGUGAGUGAUGAAGGUCUUCGGAUCGUAAAGCUCUGUUGUUAGGGAAGAACAAAUGUGUAAGUAACUGUGCACAUCUUGACGGUACCUAACCAGAAAGCCACGGCUAACUACGUGCCAGCAGCCGCGGUAAUACGUAGGUGGCAAGCGUUAUCCGGAAUUAUUGGGCGUAAAGCGCGCGUAGGCGGUUUUUUAAGUCUGAUGUGAAAGCCCACGGCUCAACCGUGGAGGGUCAUUGGAAACUGGAAAACUUGAGUGCAGAAGAGGAAAGUGGAAUUCCAUGUGUAGCGGUGAAAUGCGCAGAGAUAUGGAGGAACACCAGUGGCGAAGGCGGCUUUCUGGUCUGCAACUGACGCUGAUGUGCGAAAGCGUGGGGAUCAAACAGGAUUAGAUACCCUGGUAGUCCACGCCGUAAACGAUGAGUGCUAAGUGUUAGGGGGUUUCCGCCCCUUAGUGCUGCAGCUAACGCAUUAAGC
rnacentral:rRNA from 1 species